rnacentral:lncRNA from 1 species
CCUUUCGUUGAAAUCCUGGAGUGGUCUUCAGGACCCCCUGGCCCUUCUUUCCUAGACCCCGGCAGUAGAAGUUGUUUUCUCGCGGUGGGAAGGCUGUGCCCAUGAUCCUCGCCCCAACCCUCGGAUCUGAAGUGUCGAUCCGGGAAAUGGCUUCGGACAUCUCUUCCUCCUGCGUGUCCGGCCAUGUCUCCCUCACUAUAGCACUCAUCACCUCGUCACUAGCCUCCCUCACCUUGGCCUAAUUAGAUAGGAAAAAAAUUAUUAAUUAACAUUUUGACAUAUAUAUAUAAGUAAAAUUAAAAUUACCGUAAAAAGGAAAUAGUACUUACUAUAUCCUCCUGGGAGUCAGGAUAUGUCCUCUCGUACGUAUAGACGUACUGGUUGACCUCUGGAUGUUCCCUGGCCGCCUCGUCCAUGAAGACAGCGAACGGUCUAGAACCGGCAUGAUGGUUCCUUGUGUUGCGU